UCUCUCCCUCUCUCUCUCUCUCUCUCUCUCUCUCUCUCUCUCUCCUCUGCGUAUUACUGUUGCCGACGACGCAGGAGUACUUUCCGGCCACCAUUUUUAGCCACGCGCUGGACCGUUGGAUUCAGAGGCCUCCGAACUAUCGACCCACGCGGGAAUCUAGAGCUCACUCGCCGAUUAAACGCCUCAACCACUCGAUUUAAGUUCGGCCACCCCGCGACUUCAAAGUUGCGAUUCGGCCACCUCGGGCAUCCGUUUGCCGAUCCGUCACCACCAUCGUGUUCCUCGUGUUGUGGGCUUCAAAACCCAAUAACUUGUUCCUACAUCUACCAUAGUUGGGUGGUGGGCCCACCACGAGCCACCGCGAUCCACCGUAGACCGACGGUCGAAACUUAGUGUUCGAGGUUCCGAAGUACGUUUUGAGUCUCAGAAAAUCAUCGUUUGACUUAUUGUGGAACCCGAUCAUUUUGGUAUAAUUUCUUUAACCUAUAUAUUGUGAUUUAAUUGUGAUUGAUUAGAGUAAUUGUUAUUAUGUGUAUUUAUGGUAUAUAAUUAUAUAUUAUUGAUAUAUGGAAUAUUUUCUGUAAUUUACUGGCUGUCUGGGAUUAUAUAUAUUUUUUAUACAGGUUUUGAUUUUGGAAUUGUCCACUUUAUAGCCGUUGUGCUGUCUAAUUUUCUAGAAAAUAUUAGAUAUUAAAUCAAGUAUAAAAAUACAUAUUUAAUUGAUUUUAUAUUAAUAUGGAAAUUAUUAUGAUUAAGUAAUUUUAAUUAUUAUUGUUAUUAUUUUGUUAAGUAAAUCAAGAAUACAGAUUCAUAUAUAUAUAUGAAAAGUAUGAUUUAUAGUAAACCUAUUAUCUAACCAUUAUUAUUGUAUAUUAAUAUUUGAAUAUUAAAAUAAUAUCAAAUAUUAGUUUCCUACAGUUAUUGAUAUUUGUAAGACCGGUGAAGUUUGGAGAAAGUAUAUUUAUUAUAUCACUGGAAUUGAUAUUAUGACUAACUAAUAAUAAUAUAAAUAUUUAUAUUUAUAUUAUUAUCAUUAUAUUGAUUAUUACAACUUUAUGUUACAAAUAUGAUUUCUUUUAUAAAAUGACUAUUUGAAUAUAUACAUCCAUAUACGUAUUGCUAUUGAAGUAUUUUGUUAUUAAUAUCGAAAUAAGUUUAAUUAUAGACGAUAAUUAUUAUUGUUGUUAGGAUUAUAAUUAUUAUUAUUAUUUAUAUAGUUUCUGGUAUGAUUAAUAUACACUAUCAAUAGUGUAUAUUUACGGAUUAGAUAGAAUUUAAUAAAUUAUGUGCCUUGAAUAGGAUUUGUAUGGAUUUGAUUGAUUGACUCUUGGUGAGCCGUUUUAAAAUAAGCUAAGGACCUAAGGUGUGGCUUUAGCUGUUGAGCAACUUGUGGAGCACGGACUCAGUAGCAAUGCAAUAAUGGUUUAGAGUUUUCAUAUGGCUGCCUUAAAUUUAAAGUAUUCAUACGUGUAAUAAUUUCUUCUAAUAAGUUUAUAUAAAAGUUUUAAAUUUUUCUGUAUUUCUUCGUAUCAUUUUAUUUAAUUCUUUUGGUCAAGUGCCUUACAUACUCGUAAACCCUAGAAUUACGAGUAUGUGGCAGACGUACCCUACCUUAGGGACGUUACAAAUGGUAUCAGAGCUUUGAGUUUGUAGAUGUCGUAUACUCGUUAUGUUAUUAGAUUUUGGGAUCUGAAAUGCUACUGAGUUCCGCCACAAGACAAGCCACACGUUAAUGGUUAGUAUAAUUUAUCCAUAUUUUAGUUAAUGUAUGUUAAUGAUGUUGUAUAAUUGUAUUAGAAACUCAUUGUGUGUUUGAGUUUCCAUGAUAUAAGUAUGAGUUUGGAUUAAAUGAAUAUUCUCAUGCACGGUAGAGAAAUUGAAGUUUGUUAUUUAUCUGAAUGCAUGCCUUUAUUAUUGAUGUGAUAAAUAAUUGAUGAUUUAUCGAUGUCGAUGUUUGGAUUGUUAAUUGAUAUUCUCAAGCUUUGAAAGUGAUCUAUCAGUUCAGUUAGUGUGUUAAGGGUUAAUAUGUCAGGUUAGUGUUUUGGAGAGCAGAGUUUUAGGUUGUUGCUGAGAGCACACACAAUAAGAGACUUUAGUGAAACAGUAGUAAUAUAUAGAAAAAAAAAAAAUACAUAAUACAUUAAGGAUUGGGGUUUUGGACACGUUCUACCUCGUCAAUCAACUUUUGUUGUUCAACUCUAAGGGUCUCCCCAGUAGUUUGCAGUGUCUGAAAUUUUUCCUUCAUAUCGACUGAGUAGUUAGCAAGAAGUGUAGUUAAAGUCCCAUUCUCCUUAGCCAACUUCUCCUUCUCUCGAGUCAAUGCCUUGUUGGCAUUUCUAAUGGUUAUCAUCUCUUGUUUUUGUGUUUCUAUAUACCUUUUCAAGUGGUCAACCUCUUGUUCUCUUGCAAGAACCCGUUGGCCUAGGUUUGAGACCGAUGCUGCCGCCUGAGUGGUAAGAACUAAGGAAUCUUUUACAGCUUGUAGGUCUGACCUAUGGGAUAAAAUUAUUUGGUCUUUAGGGGUGAGUAUGCUUUGACCUAUACUAAUGGCCACCUUUUUAUCGAGCAUAGCUGAAUCCUCCACCGUGACAAGGCCAGUAUCAGAAUAAAAUUUGGGAAGCCAAACUCUGGGAAAUUGAGUAUUUCGUUCUGGGAUGUGUACCGUAGGAUACACCAUUAGCUGUAGUAGGGGUGCAGAAAUUUGUGGUGAAGAUUCGAUAGUGGGAAGAUUUGGCUCAGGUAAAGCUAAAGUUAGGUCUAAGUUCAGCUGAGAUGAUGAGGAUGCCAUGGAUUGCUUAGCUUGAGUAAUGGACGGAAGUAAUAAUGAUUUGGUUUUCAAAAGCUUGAGAUUGAUUGUGUUUUAGUGUGUAUGUGAUGAAUUUUAUUUAUAGAAAAAUGUGUUGAACUGUUGGGUCAUUGGAUCCUUGAAUUUGUUUGUUUUCAAGAUAGAUAUCACAGAUUUUAUCUUGUUCAAUGUGUUACGCUAUCCUCUCUGAUGAUGAAAGUCAAACUUAUUAGAUGUUGUCGACAUGGAAAUCACUUCUAUUGAUUUUGCGAUCCUGAUUUGAACAUGGAAACAAUUUGUAAAUUGUUGAAUGAAUCGAGGUGAUAAAUGUUAUUUACUGAAUUACUCUGUAGUGUGAAUUACUUUCGGCGAUUAAAUUAUAGUAUAUUAGCUGUUUUAUCCCGAAAGUAAGAUAAUGUAUUACUUGUGUGAAGUGAUGACUGAGUAUUAUUGGUAUAGGUGUUGAAAUGAGACAUGUCCAACUUAUUAGACAUGUGAGAAUUAUUCGUUUUCGUAGAUGAAGUGGUGGAUUGGUCAGUCAAGACUUAUCCCAUGUUUUAUUCAAUGAAGGGAUACUAAGCUAAGUGUGUGAAUUUCCGAGUGGCCACGGUUAUUUGCAUUCUAGCAUAGUAUCAAUAUGCCCUUUAUUAUUUUAUACAUUUGGAAACAAUUUUGAUUUUUAAAUGUUUUCUUAGAGAAAGAAUGAGAGUCAGGCUUUUCUGAACUGGUACCUAAUGAAUGGCCUAUCUCACUAUUUCUCAUUCAGGGCAAGAAGUCGGUUUUGACAACGAAAGGGUUUCACAGAGACUUGGUUUUAAAGAAUAAUCUUCAUCGGCUAUAUAAUUGUUUUCUAGUUAUCCAAUUUUUUUUUAUGCCGAAAAACUUUCUAUUGAACAAACUUGUUGCUCAAUUUAGCAUCUAUUAUCAAGGUAUAACCAGUCAUUUGCAUCUGCUUAAAAAAAAAAAAAAAAAAUUGACUGUAAAACAUGAAGAUCAAGGAUGUUUUCAUGAUGAUGGUCAUUUUCUCUUCUUACGUUAUGUGGUUUGUGUUCAAAAGUAUGGAUGAUGAGGAUUCGUUUGUAUUUUCGUAUACAUUCAUUGUAAUUUAUACUAUUGUUAUAGCUUAUUUCCUUUCUAUCUAUAUUGUAGUCCUCAUGUGAGGUGUUUACACAUCCUCGCCUUUUUAUAUAUGAUAAGGAUUACAAGAAGUCAGGAAUAAGUUUUGUUUUCGGGGUGAAAGUAAGUGUUGUGUAUAAAAUCUUAUGCUGUGAAAUGUUGUUCUGUUUAUUUGUAAUGGUAGUUCUUGUCUCCGAUUAUCAAAUUUUAGUUUGAAAUUUCGAGGACGAAAUUAUUUUAACGGGGGAAGGAUUGUAAUAUCCAACAUUUUCAUAAUACAUUUAUUUAUUAUAAAUCAAAGUUUUAAUACAUAAAAUGUACAACUUUACAAAUUUAAGAAAUAGUAAUGGAAAAAUAGUGUUUAAAAUAUGAUUUUAUGUUUUUAAUGAGAUUAAAGAAAGAGAAACUUGAGUAGUCAAGUAUUGGACCCAAAUGUCAUAUAAUUUUAAUUGGGGAUUUUUAUAAAAUUAAGAAAGUUUGGCUAAAGGGCUUAUUUGAAAAGAAUUUUAGUAUUUUGGGUCCAAGUAUAAUUUUUAAAAAUAAAUAAAUAAAUAAAUAAAUAAAAUAAAAAUAAAAUAAAAGGCUUCAGCCUUUCAUUUUACCCGAGCUCCUCUCUCUCUCUCCUCAGAAACUCUCUCCCUCUCUCUCUCUCUCUCUCUCUCUCUCUCUCUCUCUCUCUCUCCUCUGCGUAUUACUGUUGCCGACGACGCAGGAGUACUUUCCGGCCACCAUUUUUAGCCACGCGCUGGACCGUUGGAUUCAGAGGCCUCCGAACUAUCGACCCACGCGGGAAUCUAGAGCUCACUCGCCGAUUAAACGCCUCAACCACUCGAUUUAAGUUCGGCCACCCCGCGACUUCAAAGUUGCGAUUCGGCCACCUCGGGCAUCCGUUUGCCGAUCCGUCACCACCAUCGUGUUCCUCGUGUUGUGGGCUUCAAAACCCAAUAACUUGUUCCUACAUCUACCAUAGUUGGGUGGUGGGCCCACCACGAGCCACCGCGAUCCACCGUAGACCGACGGUCGAAACUUAGUGUUCGAGGUUCCGAAGUACGUUUUGAGUCUCAGAAAAUCAUCGUUUGACUUAUUGUGGAACCCGAUCAUUUUGGAUUUGUAUGGAUUUGAUUGAUUGACUCUUGGUGAGCCGUUUUAAAAUAAGCUAAGGACCUAAGGUAAGUAAAUCUCACCUUUUGUGCUUAAGUGUAAGAUGCAUGACUACAUUGAUUGUGUACAUCUGAUGAGUUAAGUAUGGUAUGAUGAUGAUGCAUAUGAUAAGUAUGUGAAGAAUGGUUAUAUGAACACCAUAAGGGUGUUGUGUGAUAUGUAAUUGAUGAAUUCUGUGAUAUGUGAAAGAUGUCUUACUUGGUUAAGAAUGAUAUGAAUUAUGUGCAAGUAUGUGUUCUUAUGUUGAUGGAUAUGUGGAUUACUCUAUGUUCAUGAUUUGUUAUAUGUUAUGAUAUAUGAAGCGUUUAAGUUUUUAGGCUGGAAACCUUAGACCUGAGCCAUAGCUCUACGUUAAGGUAUAACAACGCCACCAACCCAAAGCUUCAUGUAUUAUGACUAAAGAUGUUUUGAGUUAUAUGAGAUGUGAUACAAUGCCUUGAUUGAAUACCAUCAACAUCAGUCAUGAACACGAACAUUGGCAUUUCAGCAUCAGCAUGUAUGCAUGGCAUGUACAUUUAUGUGAUACAUUAUUAUGUGAUAUAAGACCAUGCAUAUGGAUAUGAGAAAAGUUAUGAAAUGUCUUGAAAAGUCUUAUGUAAAGUUAAACAUUUUAAUGACACAAGGCUUAAGCAAAGUGAUAAUAAGAUGUUUAAAAAGGGUGCCACUGUUUUGAUGAAGCAAUCAAGUAAGUUCAGUAAAGAAGACGGAAGUCUAUAAGACUUAUAGUGGCUGCCCACUAGUGUGGGCUAGGUCAGAGUUGACCAUUCAGAUAUGUUUGCCAUGUUUCCGUCUUUCUCCUCCAUAUGUGUAAUAAGUAUGGCAGCUAUGGCAACGAUGAAAUGAGUGUUAUGAUGAGCCUAGCUGAGAUGAUGGCUAGCCGGAGGAGAACCCAUGGGAUUCUAUAUGAUAUGUGUAACAAGCCCUGCAGGCAUUGGCUGAAUCAAACAGUGUGCACAAGUGAUAUUGGGCCCAUAAAAAUGUGAAACUAACAGAAAGAGCAUAAAAGUAAAGUUUGAAAGUGCAUGAGCAAUAAAUGGAAUGCAUAAGUAUAUAAGUCAGCAUAUUAAUAUAUGUGCACUACAAACUCACGACAUUCAUGUGUAUGUGUAUGCAUGAGAUUUGCUUACUGAGCGUUAGCUCAUUAUGUUAUUUUCCAACAUUUUUCCAGGUGUGGCUUUAGCUGUUGAGCAACUUGUGGAGCACGGACUCAGUAGCAAUGCAAUAAUGGUUUAGAGUUUUCAUAUGGCUGCCUUAAAUUUAAAGUAUUCAUACGUGUAAUAAUUUCUUCUAAUAAGUUUAUAUAAAAGUUUUAAAUUUUUCUGUAUUUCUUCGUAUCAUUUUAUUUAAUUCUUUUGGUCAAGUGCCUUACAUACUCGUAAACCCUAGAAUUACGAGUAUGUGGCAGACGUACCCUACCUUAGGGACGUUAC